rnacentral:rRNA from 1 species
UGGGGAAUAUUGGGCAAUGGGCGAAAGCCUGAUCCAGCCAUGCCGCGUGAGUGAUGAAGGCCCUAGGGUUGUAAAGCUCUUUCACCGGUGAAGAUAAUGACGGUAACCGGAGAAGAAGCCCCGGCUAACUUCGUGCCAGCAGCCGCGGUAAUACGAAGGGGGCUAGCGUUGUUCGGAAUUACUGGGCGUAAAGCGCACGUAGGCGGACUACUAAGUCAGGGGUGAAAUCCCGGGGCUCAACCCCGGAACUGCCUUUGAUACUGGUAGUCUCGAGUCCGGAAGAGGUGAGUGGAAUUCCGAGUGUAGAGGUGAAAUUCGUAGAUAUUCGGAGGAACACCAGUGGCGAAGGCGGCUCACUGGUCCGGUACUGACGCUGAGGUGCGAAAGCGUGGGGAGCAAACA